GGGUUGUGAGGUUAAGCGACUAAGCGUACACGGUGGAUGCCCUGGCAGUCAGAGGCGAUGAAGGACGUGCUAAUCUGCGAAAAGCGUCGGUAAGGUGAUAUGAACCGUUAUAGCCGGCGAUGUCCGAAUGGGGAAACCCAGUGCAAUUCGUUGCACUAUCGUUAACUGAAUACAUAGGUUAACGAGGCGAACCGGGGGAACUGAAACAUCUAAGUACCCCGAGGAAAAGAAAUCAACCGAGAUUCCCCAGUAGCGGCGAGCGAACGGGGAGCAGCCCAGAGUCUGAAUCAGCUUGUGUGUUAGUGGAACGGUCUGGAAAGUCCGACGGUACAGGGUGAUAGUCCCGUACACCAAAAUGCACAGGUUGUGAACUCGAAGAGUAGGGCGGGACACGUGGUAUCCUGUCUGAAUAUGGGGGGACCAUCCUCCAAGGCUAAAUACUCCUGACUGACCGAUAGUGAACCAGUACCGUGAGGGAAAGGCGAAAAGAACCCCGGCGAGGGGAGUGAAAAAGAACCUGAAACCGUGUACGUACAAGCAGUGGGAGCACCUUCGGGUGUGACUGCGUACCUUUUGUAUAAUGGGUCAGCGACUUAUAUUCUGUAGCAAGGUUAACCGUAUAGGGGAGCCGCAGGGAAACCGAGUCUUAACUGGGCGUUAAGUUGCAGGGUAUAGACCCGAAACCCGGUGAUCUAGCCAUGGGCAGGUUGAAGGUUGGGUAACACUAACUGGAGGACCGAACCGACUAAUGUUGAAAAAUUAGCGGAUGACUUGUGGCUGGGGGUGAAAGGCCAAUCAAACCGGGAGAUAGCUGGUUCUCCCCGAAAGCUAUUUAGGUAGCGCCUCGUGAACUCAUCUUCGGGGGUAGAGCACUGUUUCGGCUAGGGGGUCAUCCCGACUUACCAACCCGAUGCAAACUACGAAUACCGAAGAAUGUUAUCACGGGAGACACACGGCGGGUGCUAACGUCCGUCGUGAAGAGGGAAACAACCCAGACCGCCAGCUAAGGUCCCAAAGUCAUGGUUAAGUGGGAAACGAUGUGGGAAGGCACAGACAGCCAGGAUGUUGGCUUAGAAGCAGCCAUCAUUUAAAGAAAGCGUAAUAGCUCACUGGUCGAGUCGGCCUGCGCGGAAGAUGUAACGGGGCUAAACCAUGCACCGAAGCUGCGGCAGCGACACUAUGUGUUGUUGGGUAGGGGAGCGUUCUGUAAGCCUGCGAAGGUGUGCUGUGAGGCAUGCUGGAGGUAUCAGAAGUGCGAAUGCUGACAUAAGUAACGAUAAAGCGGGUGAAAAGCCCGCUCGCCGGAAGACCAAGGGUUCCUGUCCAACGUUAAUCGGGGCAGGGUGAGUCGACCCCUAAGGCGAGGCCGAAAGGCGUAGUCGAUGGGAAACAGGUUAAUAUUCCUGUACUUGGUGUUACUGCGAAGGGGGGACGGAGAAGGCUAUGUUAGCCGGGCGACGGUUGUCCCGGUUUAAGCAUGUAGGCUGGUUAUCCAGGCAAAUCCGGAUAAUCAAGGCUGAGGUGUGAUGACGAGGCACUACGGUGCUGAAGUAACAAAUGCCCUGCUUCCAGGAAAAGCCUCUAAGCAUCAGGUAACAUCAAAUCGUACCCCAAACCGACACAGGUGGUCAGGUAGAGAAUACCAAGGCGCUUGAGAGAACUCGGGUGAAGGAACUAGGCAAAAUGGUGCCGUAACUUCGGGAGAAGGCACGCUGGUGUGUAGGUGAAGUCCCUGCGGAUGGAGCUGAGACCAGUCGAAGAUACCAGCUGGCUGCAACUGUUUAUUAAAAACACAGCACUGUGCAAACACGAAAGUGGACGUAUACGGUGUGACGCCUGCCCGGUGCCGGAAGGUUAAUUGAUGGGGUUAUCCGUAAGGAGAAGCUCUUGAUCGAAGCCCCGGUAAACGGCGGCCGUAACUAUAACGGUCCUAAGGUAGCGAAAUUCCUUGUCGGGUAAGUUCCGACCUGCACGAAUGGCGUAAUGAUGGCCAGGCUGUCUCCACCCGAGACUCAGUGAAAUUGAACUCGCUGUGAAGAUGCAGUGUACCCGCGGCAAGACGGAAAGACCCCGUGAACCUUUACUAUAGCUUGACACUGAACAUUGAGCCUUGAUGUGUAGGAUAGGUGGGAGGCUUUGAAGCGUGGACGCCAGUCUGCGUGGAGCCAACCUUGAAAUACCACCCUUUAAUGUUUGAUGUUCUAACGUUGGCCCCUUACCGGGGUUGCGGACAGUGUCUGGUGGGUAGUUUGACUGGGGCGGUCUCCUCCCAAAGCGUAACGGAGGAGCACGAAGGUUAGCUAAUCCUGGUCGGACAUCAGGAGGUUAGUGCAAUGGCAUAAGCUAGCUUGACUGCGAGCGUGACGGCGCGAGCAGGUGCGAAAGCAGGUCAUAGUGAUCCGGUGGUUCUGAAUGGAAGGGCCAUCGCUCAACGGAUAAAAGGUACUCCGGGGAUAACAGGCUGAUACCGCCCAAGAGUUCAUAUCGACGGCGGUGUUUGGCACCUCGAUGUCGGCUCAUCACAUCCUGGGGCUGAAGUAGGUCCCAAGGGUAUGGCUGUUCGCCAUUUAAAGUGGUACGCGAGCUGGGUUUAGAACGUCGUGAGACAGUUCGGUCCCUAUCUGCCGUGGGCGCUGGAGAAUUGAGGGGGGCUGCUCCUAGUACGAGAGGACCGGAGUGGACGCAUCACUGGUGUUCGGGUUGUCAUGCCAAUGGCACUGCCCGGUAGCUAAAUGCGGAAGAGAUAAGUGCUGAAAGCAUCUAAGCACGAAACUUGCCCCGAGAUGAGUUCUCCCUGAGACUUUAAGUCUCCUGAAGGAACGUUAAAGACGAUGACGUUGAUAGGCCGGGUGUGUAAGCGCAGCGAUGCGUUGAGCUAACCGGUACUAAUGAACCGUGAGGCUUAACCUUACAACGCCGAAG
rnacentral:rRNA from 1 species